CCCCCAAAUCAUUAAAUGACUGAAUUAAAGUAUUGAUUUUUUAAAUCAAAUUAUAAUAGUAAAUUAAAUAACUAUUUUUAAUG
rnacentral:tRNA from 1 species